UAGGAGGCCCAAAAGAGGGGCGACAGAACAUGAUGUUGACACGGGCUGGGCGCCCCCAGAAGCCCGGGAACAAACGUUUCUACUUUCCAGGUCCACUGGUGUUUGGUGUACCCAUGUGACUAAUUUGUCCAAAGAGAGAUUUCUGUGAAUAGACCAGAAGCCGACCUUUACAGUGUGUUUGGGUGCAGAUUCUAGAGGAUGUCUGUGUGCCUUUCUCCCCUUUCAAACGAUAGGGAAGAUAUACUGAGUCCUGUCUUCAGCUAGGGGAUGCCCUGGCCUCCUUCCUAUCUUCAAAGCCUGCAAGAGUGGGCUGAGUCCUUCUCACUCCACCCUCUUCUUUUGUGUACCUUUUCCACUUGUAAGGACCCUUGUAAUUGCAUUGGAUUCACCUGGAUAACCCAGACUGAUCUCCCUAUUUUAAGGUUCAACAGUGUCCUUUCAUUUCAGCCUGAAGAACACCCUUUUGUAUUUCUUAUAGGUCAGGUCUGCUAGAAACAGAUUCUCUCAGAUAUUGUCUAUCUGCGAACAUCUUAAUUUCUCCUUAAUUUUUCAAUUAGUUUUAGUGGAUGUAGAAUUUUUGGUUGAUAGUCUUUCUUUCUGCACUUCAAAUAUAUCAUCCUACUGCUUUUUUGCCUCCAUGGUUUCUGAUGAGAAAUUGACUGUUAACUUUUUGAAGAUCCCUGUAUGUGAAGAUUCACUUCUCUGUUGGUGAUUUCAAUUUUUUUUUUGUUUUUUUUGUCUUUGACUUUCAAUAUGUGUCUAAGAUGUGAAUCUCUUUGAAUUUAUCCUGCUUGGGUUUUGUGGAGGUUCUUGGAUAAAUGUUAAGAUUUAUGCUUUUCAUCAAAUUUGGGAAUGUUUGUGAAUUUUUUGAACAUUUUUCUGCCUGUUGUUUCUCCUUUCCUUCAAAGAUUCCCAUUAAGUGUAUGUUAGUAUGCUUGAUCAUGUCCCACAGAUCUCUGAGGUUCUGUUCAUUUUUAUUCAUUUAAAAAAAUUCUGGCCGUUGUAUUGAAUAAUAUUAAUUGACCUGUCUUUAAGUUCACAGAUUCUUUCUUCUGUCUGUUCAGAGCUAGUGCUGAGUAGUAUUUAAAAUAGCUGAUAUAAUAUAUUUUUCAAGUUAGUCCAGCGUUUUGGCUUUCUCAGGGAUAGUUUCAAUUGGCCACUUCUCCCUGCACAUCCCCCAUGGUAUAUGUACUAUGCUCUCUUGCUUCUUUGCAUGGCUUAUAAUUUUCUGUUGAAAACUAGACAUCUAAAAUAAUAUAAUGUAGUGACUCAAAAAUCAGAUUCUCUCCAGGAUUUAUUGUUGGUUU
ensembl:lncRNA ARRDC3-AS1 ARRDC3 antisense RNA 1